rnacentral:rRNA from 1 species
UACGGAGGGUGCGAGCGUUGUCCGGAAUCACUGGGCGUAAAGGGCGCGUAGGCGGCCUGGUAAGUAGGGGGUGAAAUCCUGCGGCUCAACCGCAGGGCUGCCUUCUAAACUGUCAGGCUCGAGCACGGUAGAGGCAGAUGGAAUUCCCGGUGUAGCGGUGGAAUGCGUAGAGAUCGGGAAGAACAUCAGUGGCGAAGGCGGUCUGCUGGGCCGUUGCUGACGCUGAGACGCGAAAGCGUGGGGAGCAAACAGG